UACGAGUUUGAUCCUGGCUCAGAUUGAACGCUGGCGGCAGGCUUAACACAUGCAAGUCGAGCGGAGACUUCGGUCUUAGCGGCGAACGGGUGAGUAAUACCUAGGAAUCUGCCUAUUAGGUGGGGGAUAACGAAUCGAAAGGUUCGCUAAUACCGCAUACGUCCUACGGGAGAAAGGGGGGGGAUCUUUGGACCUCUCGCUAAUAGAUGAGCCUAGGCCGGAUUAGCUAGUUGGUAGGGUAAAGGCCUACCAAGGCGACGAUCUGUAGCUGGUCUGAGAGGAUGGCCAGCCACACUGGAACUGAGACACGGUCCAGACUCCUACGGGAGGCAGCAGUGGGGAAUAUUGGACAAUGGGGGCAACCCUGAUCCAGCCAUGCCGCGUGUGUGAAGAAGGCCUUCGGGUUGUAAAGCACUUUAAGCGAGGAGGAAGGUUUUAGUUUAAUACACUAAAGAAUUGACGUUACUCGCAGAAUAAGCACCGGCUAACUCUGUG
rnacentral:rRNA from 1 species